UUUUAUUACGUAUCGAACACUUAUAUAAUUGCCAUAAUAGGGAUGGCGCGUUUCUACCCGGUUACCGUAAAUGACUGGACUAUAAGUGAGAUAGAAGUUGAC
rfam:Listeria grayi DSM 20601 genomic scaffold SCAFFOLD2, whole genome shotgun sequence.